CUUGAGGGAGGCCUUCUUCUCCUCGCCACCGUGUGCUGCACAACCGGUGACGGCAUGUGCGCCGCGCGGCAAAGGGAGCCAGCGGCCAUCACUCUUCAGUCUUCCGUCAGAAUCCCUGUAAGGUUCAGUAGCAGCAGAGGGCAAGAGAACUUGGCUGAGCCAGCAUACAGGGUGGAUGUGCGGGAGGAGAUUCACGCGCGCGUGCGGUGCCAAACUGCCAAUGGUGGUGCUCGGUGGAAUGGCAGUGAUUCCUCCUCCAUCUCAACUGAAAAUGUCUCUCCGUGCGGCCUCUUCACGAUGAGGGAUGAGACGGACCGUUCUGCUUUUGCCGCGUGCUUUAGUAUUAUGGCAUGGCAAGGUACGAACGACUUAAGGAGCGCCUGAAAGGUGUUCGACCAAAUGGGUGAACGGGGGUGCACGUUGGCCGGGUGAUGUUUCUUGUUCUCCGCCAGGGGGGUUGGCCGGGAGAAGAUGUGAACAGCGGUCAAGGGUUGAUCCCGGAUAAUGUUGAGGCGGACGGAAACACAUUUACCUCAGCCUCUAGGAAUGUCGAUGUUGAUCUCAUUGAAGGGGAUCCAGGAGGGGCCUCUUGGAUUGGAUAUGUUAUUGUUGACUACAUAGCCGAAACAGGUAAAGUAUAGAGGAGGCCACCAUACUGAGAACAAAGAAAUUUAGCCAUGAGAAAAGAGGCCAGUUACAAGUUCUAUGCUCUGCAGGACAAUAAACGAAUUCAUUUAAGUCCCUCCAAGUGGAUGUUAUUAUAAUCACACACUGUACAUGCUCUCAAACGGCUAAUCAGGGAGAAGCAUGUGGCCAUUUUGCAUCCUGAAAAAUGUUAUUGUGAAAAUAGAAACGAGAUGGCUCAAUCUGUGCUACUGCAAACGUGAUAUGAUAAGAGGUUCAGCUGCUACUUCGUUAUUCCAAAAAUAAUGCCGACUGAGCUGUUGCAAUGCUGCUGUGUUUCCUUGUGUCCUCCUGUGCGUUGUGAUUUUGAGUGGUUCCAAUGGCUGAUCUAGUAACCAGCAUGGUGAUCGGGCCUUUAGUGUCAAUGGUGAAGGAGAAGGCCUCCAGUUACCUGCUGGAGCAGUACAAGGUGAUGGAGGGCAUGGAGGAGCAGCAUGAGAUUCUCAAGCGCAAGCUGCCAGCUAUCCUCGAUGUCAUCAGCGAUGCUGAGGAGCAGGCAUCCCACAGACAAGGAGUAAAAGCCUGGCUUGAGGCACUCAAGAAGGUGGCCUAUGAGGCUAAUGACAUCUUCGAUGAGUUCAAGUACGAGGCACUCCGUCGUGAAGCAAAGAAGAAUGGGCACUAUCGAGGACUCGGCAUGGAUGCGGUAAAACUCUUUCCUACCCAUAACCGUAUCAUGUUCCGUUAUACGAUGGGAAAAAAACUUCGUAGGAUAGUUCAGAUCAUUGAGGUCCUUGUGGCAGAAAUGAAUGCUUUUGGAUUCAAAUAUCAGCGGCAAUCAUUGGCAUCUAAGCAGUGGAGGCAAACAGAUUCCAUCAUUGAUUACUCUGAGAAAGAUAUUGUGGAAAGAUCUAGAGAGACAGAGAAGCAAAAGAUUGUGAGAUCAUUACUUGAAAACAAUGACAUAAUGGUUCUUCCAAUAGUGGGCAUGGGUGGUCUAGGAAAGACAACUUUUGCAAAGCUUAUCUAUAAUGAACCACAAAUCAAGGAGCAUUUCCAGUUGAAUAGAUGGGUUUGUGUGUCUGAUGAGUUUGAUCUUAGUAAAAUUGCAAGUAAGAUUAGCAUGACCACAAAUGAGAAAGAUUGUGACAAUGUGCUUCAGAAGCUCCAGCAAGAAGUUAGUGGAAAGAGGUUUCUCCUAGUGUUGGAUGAUGUGUGGAAUCGUGAUGUUGAUAAGUGGUCAAAACUAAAGACUUGCCUUCAACAGGGUGCAGCGGGCAGUGUGAUAUUAACAACAACUCGUCUUGCAGAAGUUGCUCAAAUUAUGGGAACCGUUCAAGCACACAACCUCACUACGUUGGACAACAGAUUUUUAUGGGAAAUAAUUGAAAGAAGAGCUUUCUAUUUGAAAAAGGAAAAACCCAGUGAACUUGUUGAUAUGGUUGACAAAUUUGUGGAUCGAUGCGUUGGCUCUCCUUUAGCUGCAAGAGCUGUAGGCUCUGUACUGAGCAAUAAAACCACUCCCAAAGAAUGGAAUACUUUAUUAAGCAAAAGCGUCAUCUUUGAUGAUGAUAGUGGGAUCUUACCGAUUCUCAAACUUAGCUACGAUGACUUGCCUUCACAAAUGAAGCUAUGCUUUGCAUUUUGUGCUAUAUUUCCGAAAGAUUAUGAGAUUGACGUGGAAAUGUUGGUAAAGUUAUGGAUGGCAAAUGACUUCAUUCCUUCUGAGAAUGGAGUUGGCCUUGAAAAAGUUGGCAACCGGAUUUUCAACGAACUGGCUCGAAGAUCCUUCUUUCAGGAUGUGGACGAAACAUCACUGUUCAAGAUGUACAGGAGGGAUAAGCUCUGCCAAUUUAGGAAGACGUGCAAGAUCCAUGAUCUCAUGCAUGACAUUGCUUUGUAUGUCAUGAGAGAAGAAUGUGUUACAGUAAUGGGUAGGCCUAAUUCCAUCCAGUUGUUGAAAGAUUCUUCUCGCCAUCUGUUUUCAUCAUAUCAUAGAAUGAAUACCCUUUUGGAUGCUUUUAUUGAGAAAAGAAUUCUACCUCUCCGGACAGUGAUGUUCUUUGGUCACUUAGAUGGCUUCCCACAACAUUUACUGAAAUACAAUUCUCUACGAGCAUUAUGCAUACCUAAUUUUCGUGGGCGACCAUGUCUAAUUCAAGCAAAGCAUUUGCAUCAUCUAAGGUAUCUCAAUCUUUCUCAUAGCUGGAAUAUGGAAAGACUUCCUGAGGAAAUAAGCAUAUUAUAUAAUUUACAAACGUUGGAUCUUUCUGAUUGCUGUUCUCUUCGUUGUCUUCCAAAAAAUAUGAAGUAUAUGACUAGCCUCCGGCACCUAUACACUCAAGGAUGUACAGACUUGGAGUGCAUGCCUCCAGAACUGAGAAAAGUAACUGCACUACAGACACUUACAUAUUUUGUUGUGGGCAAUAGCUCGGAUUGUAGUAAUGUUGGAGAGAUACAUGACUUAAAUCUUGGAGGUGAGCUGGAGCUUGGCAAACUAGAAAAUGCAAAUGAAGAACAAGCAAUUGCAGCAAAUAUUAAAGAAAAGGUGGAUCUCACACAUUUGUGUUUCAAAUGGAGCAAUGACAUAGAAAAGGACCCAGAACAUUAUCAGAAUGUUCUAGGCGCUCUAAGGCCUCAUGCUAAGCUACAAUUGCUAAAGGUACAGUCGUUCAAAGGAACCAAUUUCCCGACAUGGAUGACAGAUGUAUGUACAUUCAUGAACUUGACAGAGAUCCAUUUAGUUGAUUGCCCAUUAUGCAAGGAAAUUCCGAAGUUCUGGAAGCUACCAGCCCUUGAAGUUCUGCAUUUAACAGGAUUGAAUAAAUUGCAAAGCCUAUGCAGUGGUGCUAGUGAUGUCAUUAUGUGCUCUGCAUUUCAAAAACUCAAGAAACUCAAGUUGCAACAUUUGAAGAGCUUGAAGAGAUGGGGCACAAUGGAGGGAAAACUAGGGGAUGAGGCAAUAUUUCCUGUGCUUGAGGAUAUUCAUAUUAAGAACUGUCCAGAGUUGACAGUUAUCCCUGAAGCACCAAAAAUUGGAACAUUGAAGCUGGAAGAAAAUAAACCACACCUGUCACUGUUAGUUGUUGGUUCUAGAUACAUGUCUUUGUUGUCCAAAAUGGAGUUGUCAAUCGAUGACAUUGAAGCAGCAUUAAUACCAGAUCAAAGCUCUGUAGAAACAUUAGAUGACAAGGAUAUAUGGAAUAGCGAGGCUUCUGUUACAGAAAUGAAGUUAGAUGGUUGCAAUAUGUUCUUCCCCACAACACCAUCGAAACCAACAGUUGGGCUUUGGAAAUGGUGCAAAUAUCUUCAAAAACUGGAAAUCAAAUCCUGUGAUGUGCUCAUCCACUGGCCACAGAGAGAAUUCCAAAGCCUAGAGUCAUUGAACGAACUAACAGUUGAGUCUUGCAAAAAUCUAAAAGGCAUUAUGCCAGUGGAUGGAGAGCCCAUUCAAGGAAUUGGGCAGCUCCUACCACGUCUGAAAUUUCUAGGAAUACGCAACUGCCAAGAGUUAACAGAGAUAUUUAAUCUUCCCUGGUCCCUCAAGACUAUUGACAUAUAUCGCUGUCCUAGGUUGAAAUCGAUAUAUGGUAAACAGGAGGAUAGUGAAUCGGGAAGUGCACAUGCAGAGCAGCUCACCACAUUAUUGAGCAAAAGGAUGCCAGACCCAUCAUCAUCAGCAGCAGCUGCAGCAACGGAGCAUCUUCUACCAUGCCUAGAACACCUUAACAUAGGGCACUGUGAUAGCUUCACAAAGGUUCCUGAUCUCCCACCAUCGCUCCAAAUAUUGCACAUGUAUAACUGCCCUAACGUCCGAUUUCUAUCGGGGAAGCUGGAUGCACUCGACUCCUUAUAUAUUAGUGACUGUAAGAACUUGAGGUCCUUGGGACCAUGCCUGGGGAACUUGCCGUCCUUGACAAGUCUCAGCAUUUACAGAUGCAAAAGCUUGGUGUCCUUGCCGGAUGGCCCUGGAGCAUACUCCUCCCUAGAGACACUUGAAAUCAAGUACUGCCCAGCUAUGAAGUCACUUCCUGGACGCCUCCAGCAACGUCUUGAUAGCCUUGAGGAGAAAGACUUGUCAAACAUGCGUUCCAGCGAUCCAUGGGAAGGGCCUAAACUACUAGAACCAAAAUCCUGGAAAUAUGUCAUCCCCAGAUGUCGGUGAGGCAACACCGCUGAGGUCAUGAAGAGGCCUUUUUAUAGAGGAUUGCUCCCAAACUCUGCUUGUUUCGUUCUGUGCAUGUCUUGGUUGCAGGAUUGCUCCCAAACUGAAAUAACGGGUUGGUGACUUUGUAGUGAACAUGGGCAAUCCAUCUUCUAAAUUGCAAGAUCUUUGGAUCGGAUCGAUCCAUCUCCUGUCGCAUGCCCCUUCCCUGCCGCGACAGAGAGCGACGCCGCGCCAUAGCCGAGCACCGCCGACGCCGGGCGCCACCACCCCGCCACCGAGCGCCGCCACCCCACCUGCCGCCGAGCACCCCACCAUCCAUCUGCAACCGUCCAUCUGAUCGUCCAAUUGAUUUUUGUAUGUAAGCACAGAUACGAUUUGGUAGGAGUGCUAGUAAUACUGAUCUUGUAUGUAAGCACCUUGGCAUCUCCUGAUUG